rnacentral:rRNA from 1 species
UACGGGGGGAGCAAGCGUUGUUCGGAAUUACUGGGCGUAAAGGGCUCGUAGGUGGCCAACUAAGUCAUACGUGAAAUCCCUCAGCUUAACUGGGGAACUGCGUCUGAUACUGGAUGGCUUGAGUUUGGGAGAGGGAUGCGGAAUUCCAGGUGUAGCGGUGAAAUGCGUAGAUAUCUGGAGGAACACCGGUGGCGAAGGCGGCAUCCUGGACCACGACUGACGCUGAGUGAGCGAAAGCCAGGGGAGCAAACGGG